GUAGGUGGCAAGCGUUGUCCGGAAUUAUUGGGCGUAAAGCGCGCGCAGGCGGUUCUUUAAGUCUGAUGUGAAAGCCCACGGCUCAACCGUGGAGGGUCAUUGGAAACUGGAGAACUUGAGUACAGAAGAGGAAAGCGGAAUUCCACGUGUAGCGGUGAAAUGCGUAGAGAUGUGGAGGAACACCAGUGGCGAAGGCGGCUUUCUGGUCUGUAACUGACGCUGAGGCGCGAAAGCGUGGGGAGCAAACAGGGAUUAGAUACCCUGGUAGUCCACGCCGUAAACGAUGAGUGCUAAGUGUUAGGAGGUUUCCGCCCCCCUUAGUGCUGCAGCUAACGCAUUAAGCACUCCGCCCUGGGAGUACGGCCGCAAGGCUG
rnacentral:rRNA from 1 species